rnacentral:rRNA from 1 species
AUUGAACGCUGGCGGCAUGCUUUACACAUGCAAGUCGAACGGUAACAGCACUUCGGUGGCUGACGAGUGGCGCACGGGUGAGUAAUACAUCGGAACGUGCCUAGUAGUGGGGGAUAACUACUCGAAAGAGUAGCUAAUACCGCAUGAGAUCUAAGGAUGAAAGCAGGGGACCUUCGGGCCUUGCGCUACUAGAGCGGCUGAUGGCAGAUUAGGUAGUUGGUGGGAUAAAAGCUUACCAAGCCGACGAUCUGUAGCUGGUCUGAGAGGACGACCAGCCACACUGGGACUGAGACACGGCCCAGACUCCGACGGGAGGCAGCAGUGGGGAAUUUUGGACAAUGGGCGCAAGCCUGAUCCAGCAAUGCCGCGUGCAGGAUGAAGGCCUUCGGGUUGUAAACUGCUUUUGUACGGAACGAAAAGCCCUCUUCUAAUACAGGAGGGUCAUGACGGUACCGUAAGAAUAAGCACCGGCUAACUACGUG